rnacentral:lncRNA from 1 species
UCAUCUUUUACUCAUACACUCUUACAUUCAUCAUUCAACGGUUCAGAUCAUCCGCGUAAAAUCCGAACGGUUCAGAUCGAUCCCACCUCCACCUCCCUCAAUCAGCGGACGACCCGCACGCCCCCCCUCCCUAUCGCUCUCCCACCACACCUGCACCUCCGCCCUCCGCCGGAAUUCCACUCCUGCACCUCCGCCAUCAGUGCUCCGCUCCGUAUCAGCCGCCGCGCCGUCCUCUGCAUCGUAUGUCUGCCACCGAUCCCGCCGCCGGCUCACCUCCAUGAUCCUCCGCCUCCCCGCUGCACGAGGUCCUCCCGUCGCCAGGUCGUCGCCGCCGUUCUGCUCCACCGAUCCCCGCCGCACGAGGUGCUCCCGUCGCUAGGUAGCCACCGCGCCGUCCUCUGCAUCGCCUAUCUCCACCAAUCCCCUCUACAUCGCAGGGGUGAGCUGCAGCUAUGGAGUUCCUCGCCGGUGGGGGAGCAGCAGAGUACAAUGAACGUGGGGUGCUCGGCGAAAUGUCCCGUCUGGCUACUCACCUGCAAUGCAUGUGUUCUGGAGAGUGUUUAUGGAUUCUGGAUCUUAGACCCCCUCAACGACUUGGAUCGUUAGUAAAGCUUCAUCUUGAAGGUUGACAUGGGAACUUUACUAGCAGAGGAAUGGGCUUAUAUUCUUGGAAAAAAUACAUUUCUCCAUGCAGAAUGUGAUCACAAUAAUGAUACUUGCUGCCAUGAUUUCUAUCACUCAUGCACGCAUUGCCCUUGAUGAUUGUAUGCAGUUGGGAUAUAUUGUCAUCAAGCAAGAAAAUCCUUGGCGAUUCUGGUUUAUAUGACUUCCUGGAAGCAGUAGGAACAACAAGAGUUACUGAACCAGAAAUUGAACUUGCCUUCUUCAUGCAUCAGAUGAACCAUAAAGGGAACAACACUACUACCCUCUCCAAAAUUGAGCUGCUCAGGACUUCGUAGAAAUUUACAGCUUUAGGACAUGUGAUUUAUCCAUUCUCUUUUACUGUUUAUUCUAAAAUGCAAAAAAAAGAAAUUUUGUUGUAGCUUAGAUUAAGGCAGCCUUAGCUUUGUGGUUUGCCAAGCCAUGUACUGAUAUAUGAAUGUGAUACUUUAAUUAAUGUUGAAACGCAUGAUUAUGUAUUUG